AAAUAAUAUUCCAAAGCUUUCGUGUGUUCUCCAUUACUUGUGUGGAUAAGCCCUAUAUUAUAGAGUAUAUAACUUCGAUCAUAGGGAUCAAUUUCUAGUCGCAUAGCUUCAUAAUAAUUCUGCAAAGCUUCCGCGUAAUUUCCUUCGGAUUGAGCCGACAUCCGUUACGGUCGUCAUUCAAUUGAAAGAAUCUCCGUUCCAGAACCGUACGUGAGAUUUUCACCUCAUACGGCCCAUCCCUUAUGUGCAUAAUGAGAAUAAUACAUAGAAUCAAAAAGAUUCAACGAUGAAAAUAUUCUCAUUAUGAACUCAGCAGGGCUAGUGUUUUUACAAGAAAUCUCUAGCCAACCUUCCUGCAGGAGAUUCUUUCUUAACAUCAAGCCUAUUGGGACUAGAUAGAAAUGAUAAGAUAACUCCAACAAUUUCUUUGUUUUUAACGCCUCCUAAUUUCCAAAAAUUAGUCACUUCAAUAGCCUUCGAUGGUUAUACGGGUAUCCGAAGGACGAACGAGAUGGAUGUUUGUUGUCCCAACCAUUCUUUUAGUCCCAAGCCCGCUAAGAAAAGGGCUGACUUAGAACAAAGUUUUCGUGUUGUUGAUUCCUAGGUGCAGUGAUUCUUCCCCUAUGCUGCCUAUUAGCGCUAGUAGAGUAGGAUUGACCUGUAAUACAGAACCUCUAGGCGUAACCUUUCGCUUAAUACUAGAAUCGAGAAUCGAAACAUAGCAUCUGAGGUUUCAUUAAUCGAGGAUACAUGACAGAAGGAAUUGUU
rnacentral:lncRNA from 1 species